rnacentral:tRNA from 1 species
GGAGAUAUAGCUUAGUUGGUAGAGUGCUUGCCUCACAUGCACAAGGCACUGGGUUCAAUCCCCAGCAUCACAG